rnacentral:lncRNA from 1 species
AGAAUAAAGCCACAUCUCUCAGCCUCCCUUGCAGCUUGGUGUGCCAGUGCCGAAGCUUGGAUGAUGCUGUGGAGGAGAGUAUGCAAACUGAUGGAGAUGUGGAGGUCAGUUGGAUGAUGAGGGGACAGAAAUGCAUAAUCACACUUGGAGACAUCUGCUUCACUCCAUUUAAAAUUUAUUCUAAUAUAAAAAUUCACAAUGAACAGGGAUUGAUAUCAUUGGAUGUCUGUCCUUUCCAAAUCUUGUAUUGAAAUGUGAUCCCCAGUGUUGGAGGUGGGGCCUAGUGGGAGGUGUUCGGCUCAUGGGGAUGAAUCCCUCAUGAAUUUCCUGGUGCUGUCCUCAUGUAAUGAGUGAGUUUUUAUGAGAUAUCGUUGUUUAAAAAGAGCUUGGCACUUCUGCCUCUCUCUCUUGCUCCUGGCUUGCCAUGUGAUGUGCCUGAUCUUUCUUUGUCUUCCACCAUUAUUGUAAACUUCCUGAGGCCCUCACCAGGAACAGAUGCUGGCACCAUGCUUCUUGUACAGCCUGAAUAACUAUGAGUCAAUUAAAUCUCUUUUCUGUAUAACUAACCCAGUCUUAGGUAUUUCUUUGCAAUGCAAAUGGACUAAUAUAAAAUUGGUAGGAGGAGUGAGAUGUUGCUAUAAAGACACCUGAAGAUGUGGAACAAGCUUUGGAACUGGAUAUCGGGCGGAGGUUGGAAGAGUUUGGAGGGCUCAGAAGAAGAAAAGAAGAAAAAGGAGAGUUUGGAACUUCAUAGAGACUUGUUAAGUGGUUGUGACCAAAAUGUUGAUAAUAAAUAUUUACAAUGAAAGGCCAGGCUGACAAGGCCUCAGAGGGAAAUGGGGAAGUUGUUAGGAACUGGAAUAAAUGUCACUUUUAUUAUGCCCUAGCAAAGAACUUGACUGCAUUUUGUCCACGUCCCAGGAAUCUGUGGAAGUUUGAACUUAAGAGUGAUGACUUAGGAUAUCUGGUGGAAGAAAUU